rnacentral:rRNA from 1 species
UCCGUUAGGGGGUACCUGCGGAGGGAUCAUUACACAACAAAAAUAUGAGGGUGUGGUUUGCUGGCAACAGCGUCCGCCCCAAGUAUUUUUCACCCAUGUCUUUUGCGCACUUUUUGUUUCCUGGGCGAGUUCGCUCGCCACCAGGACCCAACCAUAAACCUUUUUUUAUGCAGUUGCAAUCAGCGUCAGUAUAAUAAUUCAAUUUAUUAAAACUUUCAACAACGGAUCUCUUGGUUCUGGCAUCGAUGAAGAACGCAGCGAAAUGCGAUACGUAGUGUGAAUUGCAGAAUUCAGUGAAUCAUCGAAUCUUUGAACGCACAUUGCGCCCUUUGGUAUUCCAAAGGGCAUGCCUGUUCGAGCGUCAUUUGUACCCUCAAGCUUUGCUUGGUGUUGGGCGUCUUUUUGUCUCUCCCCUUGUUGGGGGAGACUCGCCUUAAAACGAUUGGCAGCCGACCUACUGGUUUUCGGAGCGCAGCACAAAUUUGCGCCUUCCAAUCCACGGGGCGGCAUCCAGCAAGCCUUUGUUUUCUAUAACAAAUCCACAUUUUGACCUCGGAUCAGGUAGGGAUACCCGCUGAACUUAAGCAUAUCAA